UAUAUAAUAUAUUUAUUUGCAGACUCCCGGCUUCGAAGUCAAAAAAUCAAAACCAGCGGUUCUGCGCGCGGCUACUGCGGCAUCCUCGCAGCGAUUUAGCUUUAACUUCCAGCGGGAUCUUUCACCUUCCUUGCUGCCAUUGAUGCUGUUCUGAUUGAUCACUGCGUUCGUCACUUAGCUUCCCUGUGUUACUACGUGGAGUGAUUUUGAGAACAAAUCUCCCUGAUAAUUGGCGAGGAUCCGAACCAUGGAUGUGGAAUUUUGAAGCUUGGGGCUCUUGCAUCAUUUUUGGAAAGAAUACGAAUUAAAAAAGGUGAUAAAUAUUUCAUUUUUGCUUGCAUGCAUGAUACUUUAGAAUUGCAAGAUGAUAGAGAGGGUUUGAAUCUGCGACGAGCUACGUGGAGUAUUCGUUUCUUGUACCAUUUUUGGGACAACCAUCUAGAUCAAUCAUAUAUUAAGAUUUUACUUCUGCUCAUUUGCGCAACAUUGUGUACUUGUUUUGGAGAGUUAUCUAUCAAAGUCAGAGACUGCAAGAGGAAUGUGUUUGGAGAUAUAUAGUUAGUUACAUUUCUUGAGUCUUUUUCUUUUUGUUGGAUCCAAUGGUUGGAUUCCAAACAGAAAGUAAAUUUCCAAUCUCUUGAUACCUCUCAUCUUUAUUUGAGUGACUUUAGUUGGCGCCUUCUAGGAAUGGUUGAGAAUUUAAGACAUCCUUAUUAGCGCCCUCAAUAAUUGGCAUGUGAUAUUAUCACUCUGGCCAUGAUGUCGCAUUAAUGUGUGCCAAGAAUGAUUUGCGUUUUGUAUUCUGCAUGAUGUUCCUUAAAACCUUAUUGCAUCUCCUUGUUUUUAGAUGAUGGGCUUACCGCUAUAACAGUCUUGAUUAUAGUAGUGUUAUUUGCAAGUGGAUCUUUUGAGAACAUAAAUAUUGAACCCGCCAAAAUCACUGACAAGAGCUUCAUGGUGUUGAAUUCAUAGUUUUGAGUUUGAUAAUUUGGUUAAAAGCAGGUCGUCAUAGAGAUAGAUAUUUGAACUAACUUUGUGCACUUUAAUUUCUAUUUUACCAGUAUAUUUUUUUUUUAUUUCCAACUGGGGAACUGUAUUUGAUGUUCCUUGUAUGGUUGCUUUGGAAAACAUUACUUUUAAAAGCUUUUUUUUUAGCAACACUACCCUGGAAUAAUGUUUGGUACCUGGUUGGUGGAAUGCAAUUUGUUGAUUCAGUUUUUUCUUUGAUUUUGUACUUUUAUUACUGUUGAUAAGAAUAUAUUAAUAAAUGGACUGUUUAUAAUUUCCACAAACGUCUAAAGUGGAUGCUUUUGCCAAAUUUUCUGUGACUGUGUUCUACAUUUGAUUGCUUUGACUUGGAAAUUCCUAUUUUAUAUCAGAUCUGUAAUAAAUACGUUGCUUCUGUUUCCAAGUCCUCUUUUUCGAUAAGUUGAAACUGUGUUCAAGUUUGGGGAGGAUUGAAGCCACAACCAAUGGUAUAGAUUCUGCUGGCCCAUGAACAGGCAUCAUCAUCUUUUCUUGAAACUUAAGCAGCAAAUCUUCUAAGAUGGUCAUAUGACUGCCUGCCAAAAUCAGAAACUCUCUGUAUCAGUCUUCUAGAGCAUGAAAUGAUAGAUUGCCCAUUAUAUUAAUAGUUAAUUGUCAGAGCAACAGGACUGCAUCGAUACUAAUCAUGCAUGCCAGUUGAGAUCAGACUCAUAUGUCUAGUCACUGUGUGCUAACCUAUCCUUCAACUGCGCAAUUUACAUGUUGCUUCUAAAGGUCUUUCACGGGCUCUAUGCAGAAAGUGCUUUAGCAAUAACAUGACCAUUAGUUGCAUUGCAUGUUUGCAUGGAUAUAUUGCGUAGGCAUUCCUUGUGUAUCGUUUCCAGUGUUCUUUUGGAAGUUAAAAUAAAAAUUAAUGCAACAAAGUAUGUAGUGAAAGGGAAAGGUGGCACUAACAUGGUAAAAAAGGCAGGCAGAGUGAUUUGUUUACAUGCUAGUGUAAUGUGAGCCAUGAACUGGACUUGUCUUUCUUAACAAAGUCUUCAUUAAAUAUGCAUCAUGGGAAAAAAUCAAGGGGCCAACUUUUGGCUUCACUAAAGGCCAAAGGGACAUGACGUCUUCUAAGUUAAAGAUUCUCCAUUACUUGAUAUAAAAUCAAACAAAUUUUGAUGGAUUCUGAUGCAAAUUUCAGUAUCUCUUUCUCUAUCUCCAAGUCAAAAUGGGCCUAGGCGCUAAAAUAAAAUCAAAGAAACGCAGAUGGGUUCUGGAGCAAAAUUAAUGCGCUGUCUCUCUCUCUCUGUCGCACACAACUAUUAUUAGUCACAGAUAAAGAAUCUUUGUACUAGGAAAGGCUUGAAAAGUAUGCUCGUUUGGAGCUACCAAAGGUUACUAAACUGAAUAGGAGCUUAAACUUCUAUUAAAGUUCUGGGAAGCGACAUGGUAGCACGAAUAUUUGCACAGAUGAGAUAUUCGUACACACUCUCUUUUCAAUUCAUAGCAAUCUUCAGUUUUGUUCUAUUUUAUUUUAUUUCAAUUCUAUUAUUUUGGAGAUUGGUGAUACAUUGAAUAUGGCCGUAGUUUUUAGAAAACCACACCAUAUUGGUUCAAAUUUUUGACCUAGAACAGCUCCUCAAUUGUUCAUUAUCGAUUAUUUAUGUUAUCAUCAUUUCUUUCUUU